rnacentral:other from 1 species
GCGAGGCUGCCCGGUGCGUGAGGCAUUUCAUCCCCCGGGGCCAAUGAGCAUCCUCCGGGAGCUGGCUCUGACCGGAUCGUGGUCCGGUUAUCCGGCGCCCACCUGCAAAGCAGGUCUCAGGAGGGCUGACCGCCAACGGCCAGGGCGGCUUCGCG